rnacentral:rRNA from 1 species
GACAGAGGGGGCAAGCGUUGCUCGGAAUCACUGGGCGUAAAGGGCGCGUAGGCGGGAAGCCAAGUCGGUCGUGAAAUCUCCGGGCUCAACCCGGAGGAGUCGGCCGAAACUGGUUUUCUUGAGGGAGGCAGAGGAGUCUGGAAUUCCCGGUGUAGCGGUGAAAUGUGUAGAGAUCGGGAGGAACACCGGUGGCGAAGGCGGGACUCUGGGCCUACCCUGACGCUGAGGCGCGAAGGCGUGGGGAGCGAACAGG